UGAUUUAUGUUUUGUUUUCUGAUGUGUGCUGUUCAGAAAGCUCUGGAGUUCACGUCCCUGGAAAACUGAAGUGGAAAGUCAGCUGGUUAUGUCUCAUUAGUACUUACUUGAUCUAUUAUACUGAUUUGCUUAAUCCAGCAAGCUUUGCCCCGUUCAUCUCAUUAAGACUGUCCCUGCAGCUCUGGAUAUUGCAGUCUGGAAUUAAUCUUUUGUCCUUAUUUUUAUAGACACAUUUUUACUAAUUUGAUUAGGUGAUAUCUGUAACCCUGGGCUCUUAAUAAGCUACCAAGCAUGUUUUCUUUUGAAAAGGCUAUACAACUUAUGCUUUUUAUAUUUGCUGUUGACUUCUAUGUAUUAGGAAAACACAUGGUUAGUAAGUAGCUAAGGAAUUUCCUGUGCCCUUGUUUAUUUACGAUUCAGUGAAUUUGUAGUUGUUCUUUAUGCUUUUCAUUUGUCAUCAAGACCUUUUUAUAUGUUUAAAAAUACUAGUUUUCACCCAAAAACGUUUUUUCAAGGUUUAUUAAAUAUUUUUCAUUAAACAAAUAGCAAAUACUAAUGGCCAAAGCUGAUUUCUCUCUCCCUUCUCUACAUUGUGGAGUGGGUUUCUCCUUGACUUGCAGCAAGACAACCAGCUACAUAGUGAUGGAAUAUUUGUUUCUCUCCUGCCUUAGGCUCGGGCACAGGCCAGCAGUAUUGCUAUAGGUCUACAGAUUGACUUCCAACUACAAGUAGAGAAGGAUGGAAGUCCAGGGAGAUAAACCUGUGAAUAGAAUCUAUUAAAUCCCUUUCAUUCACCAGUACGUUAGCCAGAACAAACAAGGUGAGUCCAGCCUAAAGGGUAGCAGCUUUAGGAGCUGAGAAUGGAAAGUUGGAAUUUGGGAAACUGUUCAGGUCAUCAUUUCUCACUUGUAGAAUGUGAAUGUUAAAAAUCCUGUGCCUAUUGCUCAAGGUAUUGCGAACCAUAAGUUGAUACUCAGCAUGAUAUAGUGACACGUGUCUCAUAAAUGCAGCAUGAAUGGAGUCAUUGUCUUUUCCUUUAUAGUAUAACUCCACAUUAGUUGUGUGUGUGUUUGUAUGUGUGUGUCUACAUACACAUAGGAGCUUUUUCGUUUGUAGGUUUCUAUGUGACUGGUUGGAAGGUCUUUAAUGUUAUUAAUCUUUCUGUUUUCCUUCCUCUGCCCUCUCCUCCUAAUCCCAACCCAAACUUAAUCCUUCAUGUUUCAUUAUUCCAGUUCAACCCUUUAUGCAACCAUGUGCUAUGUUGUCUCCCUUGAAAGCCUCCCCCACCACAUAUACACUAGUUUCCUAACAUCUGUGGGUAUUCCAGAUAUACACAUCUGAAGAUUCAAAGUCAAUACCUACAAAUAAAAGAAAACAUUAAGUGUUUGUGAGUCUGGAGUUACCUUACUCAAAAUGAUUAUUUCUAGCUUUUGUUAAUUUACCUAUACAUUUCAAAAGUUUGUCUUUUUUUCUUUUGUAACAACUAAAUAAAAUUGCAGUGUGUAACCAUAUUUCCUUUUCAAUAUCCAUUCAUCAGUUGAUGGAUAUUUAGGUUGUUUCCAUAUCCUGACUAUUGUGAGAAGAGCAGCUAUGAAUAUUGAUAAGCAGGUCUCUCUAUAGUAGCCUAUAGAGUCCUUUGGGUCUGUGUCCAAGAGUGAAUAGCUGUAUCCUGUGGAUAUCUAUUUCUAGUAUUUUAAGAAUUAUCUGAUUUUCCUAGUGGUUAUACCUGUUUGUACUCCCAUCAGCAGUGAUUAGCAUUCUUCUUUCUCCAUAUCUAAAUCAACAUUUGUUGUUGCUUGCUCUUUUUUAUUUUAGCCAUCUGUCUCCACUGUAAGGUGAAAUCUUAAAGUAAUGUUAAUUUGCAUUUCUCUGAUGGCUAAGAAUGUUGAACAUUAAAAAACCAAAAUGUGUUUCAGCCAUUUGUAGUUCCUAUCUUCAGAACAUUCUGUUGAUGCCUGUGCUAUAUAUGUCAUUAGUUUUCUUGAUGUUUACUGUUUUGGGUUCUUUGUGUAUUCUAGAUACAAACCUCUGUCAGAUGUAUAGCUGAUAGAGUUUUUUCCCCUUAUUCUCUAGGCUGUCUUCCCUCAGGUGAUGGUGUGCUUUGUUGUACAGCCCUUUUAGAUUAGUGAGGUUGUACUUAUUUAUUAGUGUUAAGGUACUACCAGAAUCCUAUUGGGAAAGACCUCUCCGAUGCCUGUGAGCACAAGCACCUUCCCUUCUUACUCCUUUCUCAGAUUUAAGGUAUCAGGUCUAAUGUUGAGAUCCGUGAUCUUGUCGCCAUUGACUUUUAUAAGGGAAGAUAGAAGGAGCGAGCUUCCUUUACAUAUCACUGUCCAGUUUGACCAGCAGCAUUUGUUGAGGAUGUCAUUUGUCCAGUAUGUUGUUGGCCUCUUUGUCCAAAGUUUGGUAGCUAUAAGGAUUGUGAACUUAUAUGCUGGACUUUAGUUCUAUUACAUUGAUCAAUAUGUCUGCUUUAUGCCAGUGCCAUGUUGUUUGUAUUGUGAUAGCUUUUUUACACCUUAAAAUCUGAGGUGUUGACAACUACUAGCAUUUUGUUGUUCAAAACUGUUUCAGUUUUCCUGGGUAUUUGGAAUUUCCAUAUAGGAUUUAAGAUUUUUUUUUUUUAAUUUCUGUGAAGAAUUGUGUUGGAGUUUUGAUGGAAUCUGCACUGUAUUGGUAGAUUACUUUUGAUAGGAUGGCCAUUUUCACACUACUCUACCAACCAAUAAACAUGUGGGGGUAGGGGGUGACUUUCUGUUUUCACAUCUUUCAUAUUUUCUUCAAUUUUGUUUUUCACUGUCUUAAAGUUUUUUAUUGUGUAAGUCUUUCACUUCCUUAGAUUUAUUCCAAGGUUUGUUUGCUUGUUUCUGAAGCUGUUGUGAAUGGAAUUGUUUGCCUGAUUUCUUUCUCAGUGUGUUGCUUACUUGUACUUAGGAAGGCUACUAGUUUUUUGUGUUAAUUUUGUGUCCUCUUACUUUGUCAAGUAUGUUUAUCAGCUGUAGGAAAUUUCUGUUUGAGUCCUUAGGGUCUUUUCUGGGUAGAUGUAUAUCAUCUACAAAUAAGGAUACUUUGUCUAUUCUUUUCAUAUUUACAGGGCCUUUAUCUCCUUCACUUGCUUAAUUAGCCUGAAUAGGUUGGAGGAGAGUGGGCAUGGAAAUGAUUUUUCUUUUUUUCCCCAUUUGGGAUGAUGUUGGCUGUGAGCUUGCUGUAUAUUGCCUUUUUUUUUAGGUUAAGCUAUGUCCCCUGUAUUCCUAGAUUCUUUGGGACUUUUCUCAUGAAAGUAUGUUGGAUUUUAUCAAAGGUUUUUCUCUGUCUAAAGAGAUAAUCAUUAGAUUUUCAUUACUCAGUCUAUCUGUGUAGUAGAUUAUACUUAUUUCUAUGUAUGAGGUAGAUUACAUUUAUUUAUGUAUGUAUAUUGAACAAUCUCUGUAUCCCUGGGGUGAAACUGACUUCAUUAUAAUGGGUAAUCUUUAUGAUGUGUUCUUGAAUUCAGUUUGCAAAUUGAAAUGUAAACUUAAGGGUUUUUUGGAAAGUCAGUUGUGUUGGAUGGUAUUUUCUUGGAGCAAACACUUGAAGGAGUAUUUUACUGAAGCAGACACAGAUGAAAGGAUGUUUUGCUAAAUCAAGCAUGUGGGACAUGUGAAGGAUUCAUCACUAAUGAGAUGCCUAUAUUGAUCUGACUUACACUGCACAGCUGAGCUCUGUUUGUUGUGACUUCAUAGAAUUGCAUCAAAAAAACUAAACAAAACAAAACAAAAAAAAAAACUUUAGGCUGAUUGGCAAAGUGAUGUCAGCUGAUACAGAUUCAAGUGAAGUUUUGCUAAGUCAGAUUCACAUGCUCAGGCAAGAUGUGGUGAGGCAAGCAAGACCCAUGAAGGACAUGUAAUACUUGGAGGGAAUGUAAGUAGGACUCAACAGGCUGUGAGAGAGGCUUGGGUAGGCUUGGCUUGCUUGCUAGUAGAGCUAGCUGUACAAAUCAUCUUCACAUCUUCACUGAGAGAGGCACAGCCAAGAACUUCUGGCAUUCCCCUUGGCCUUGAUUCUUCCUGCGGAAUCGUGGCGAUUAGGCUGAGGCCUGGCUGUCUCUGCUAGGUCAUGCUACCACUGAUGAUUCAAGUUUGCUAUUCUGACUCUAUUGAACUAGCUGGUUUGUUGGUAUAUUCAUGAAGGAUUUGCAAGUGGAUUGAGCUGCCAUUGCUGAGCUGAACUGAACUGCUGAUCUCCUGACAAUGCAGAUGGGAUUUGCUCCAAAGAACCAUUUCUAAACAGGUGCACCCCCUCCCCACCUCCAUCCAACCCUCUGUAUCCUUUCUUUUCCUCGACCUCUGGUGGGUGGAGGUGGAGGACUACAAAGAAAGUUAAAGGGUUUAAGAACCAACAUUAAAAGUAGGCCCUGAAAAAAAUUAACAUUAUUCUAAGGGGUUUUAUUGAGAGUUUUUCCAUUCAUUCAUAUUUAUCAAAGAGAUUGAACUAUGAUUCUCUUUUGUGUAUAAGGAGGUCUUUCUCUGAUUUUGGUAUAAGGGUGAUACUGGCAUUGUAAAAAUGAUGAAAUGUCCUUUAAUUUCCUAUUUUGUGGAAUAAUUUGAGGCGUAUUUGUAUGAGUUCUUUUGAAGGUGUUAGAAAUCUGUGGCGAAUCCAUCCAUCUGGUACUAUGCUGUUUUGAAUUGGAGGAUUUUAAUUACUGGAUCUUUCUCGUUGGAUGUUAUAGUUCUAUUUAAAUUAUUUAUUUCAUCUUGAUAUAGAUUUAGCUUUUAUAGGUGAUAUGUAUCUAGAAAUUAAUUUAUGUCUUUCAGAUUUUCUAUUAUGUUAGAAUAUAGAUAUUUUUAAAAAUAUUGUCAUGAUUCUCUGAAUUUCCUUUUUAUAUAACUUUCUGUAUAUUAUAAUGACUAUUAAUUUGAAUCCUUCUUUUCAUUGAUUUGUCUAAAGGUUUGUCAAUCUUUUCAAAGAACCAACACCUUAUUAAAUUGAUUCUUUGUUU
rnacentral:lncRNA from 1 species